GUGGGGAAUAUUGGACAAUGGGCGCAAGCCUGAUCCAGCCAUGCCGCGUGUGUGAAGAAGGCCUUCGGGUUGUAAAGCACUUUUGUCCGGGAAGAAAUCUUCCAGGUUAAUACCCUGGGAGGCUGACGGUACCGGAAGAAUAAGCACCGGCUAACUUCGUGCCAGCAGCCGCGGUAAUACGAAGGGUGCAAGCGUUACUCGGAAUUACUGGGCGUAAAGCGUGCGUAGGUGGUUCGUUAAGUCUGCCGUGAAAGCCCCGGGCUCAACCUGGGAAUGGCGGUGGAUACUGGCGGGCUAGAGUGCGGUAGAGGGUGGUGGAAUUCCCGGUGUAGCAGUGAAAUGCGUAGAGAUCGGGAGGAACAUCUGUGGCGAAGGCGGCCACCUGGACCAGCACUGACACUGAGGCACGAAAGCGUGGGGAGCAAACAGGAUUAGAUACCCGUGUAGUCC
rnacentral:rRNA from 1 species